GAGGCAGGUAGGGGUGCACAGAACUCUUGGUGGAGCGGUGGAAUGCGUAGAUAUCAAGAGGAAUGCCGGUGGAGAAGUCGGUGCACUGGGCCUGUCCUGACGCUGAGACACGAAAGCGUGGGGAGCGAACGGGAUUAGAUACCCCGGUAGUCCACGCUGUAAACGAUGCCUACUAGGUUGUGGUGGUUCUGACGCCAGCACAGCCGAAGCUAAAGUGUUAAGUAGGCCGCCUGGGGAGUACGGUCGCAAGGCUAAAACUCAAAGGAAUUGACGGGGGCUCACACAAGCGGUGGAGCAUGUGGAUCAAUUCGAAGCAACGCGCAGAACCUUACCUGGGUUUGACAUGCUUGGAUGCCGCUCUGGAAACAGAGUUUGGCUGCCUUCGGGUGAAACUUGCACAGGUGCUGCAUGGCUGUCGUCAGCUCGUGUCGUGAGAUGUCGGGUUAAGUCCUUUAACGAGCGAAACCCUUGCCGUUAGUUGCCAGCGAGUAAUGUCGGGGACUCUAACGGGACUGCCGGUGUUAAACCGGAGGAAGGUGGGGAUGACGUCAAGUCAUCAUGGCCUUUAUGCCCAGGGCCUCACACGUGCUACAAUGGUCGGAACAGAGCGACGCAAGACCGCGAGGUGGAGCAAAUCGCAAAAAUCCGGCCUCAGUUCGGAUUGCAGGCUGCAACUCGCCUGCAUGAAGGUGGAAUCGCUAGUAAUCG
rnacentral:rRNA from 1 species